AAGUUAGGAGGGCAAAAGUUGGUAGCUGUGAUUAAGAUUGAUGGGCUGCCGGAGUGGCACCAUUGUGGUUCAUUAGCGCACUUGAUUUCGAAACAGGCACCACAACUAAGUCCAUUGUUGAACAGGGCUGUGCUUAGUGCUGCAGUGUUAACCCCAUAGCCUUGGCUGUACAGAUUUCCAUACCCACAAGCACCACCCAUUGUCCCAGAAGCAUCACUGCCACCAUAGAAAGUAGCAUGGGCGCUCUGCCAGGAUCCACCAGUGUAAACACCAGGAAUUCUUGCAUCAGCAAAAGUCAGAAACAGUACUACAGACACAUUGCACCCCUAGCAGCCAUUGAUUUCUUCCCUAACCUAUGCUCUAAAGAAGAAGAGAGAAAGAGAGAUGGGGUAUUUUGG
rnacentral:misc_RNA from 1 species